rnacentral:rRNA from 1 species
GACGAACCGUGCGAACGUUGUUCGGAAUCACUGGGCAUAAAGGGCGCGUAGGCGGCCUGUCAAGUCAGGGGUGAAAUCCGGCAGCUCAACUGUCGAAGUGCCUUUGAUACUGACGGGCUCGAGGGAGGUAGGGGUCGCUGGAACUUCCGGUGGAGCGGUGAAAUGCGUUGAUAUCGGAAGGAACGCCGGUGGCGAAAGCGACCUGCUGGACCUCUUCUGACGCUGAGGCGCGAAAGCCAGGGGAGCGAACGGG